rnacentral:lncRNA from 1 species
GCAGUUAUGCUACGGACCAUUUAAAAUUAAUUACGAUUUUCGAUUCAUUCAAUUAUAUUUCAUUAAAAAUACCCCUCUAGAAAAUUCUUUGGAGACGCCUAUUUAAUCGCUUAGGUGCCUAUUUUCGCAGCGAAGCAAGAGGAAAGCACCGCGCAUGUUUCUAUCGGAUCGAUACGAAUCGAUUUCCGAUAACAUUGAACAGCAGUUGGUCAGGAAACGGCUCGAAGGGCGGAUGGCGCGCCGCUAGUAAGGUUAUUCCCACUUUUAAGUGACGGGAUUGAAACAAAUUUUCGAUGGAAAUCAAAUAAUUAGAAGGAAAUCAAGCGUCAGCUAAUCCCAUCUACAAAACUAGAUAACCAAAGUUAAACAUCUCUUUGGACUUCUUCACAUAACAGAAGUGGAUAUUCCGGCGUGCCUGCCUUGUUUCAAUCCCGUAACUUAGUUAUUUAGUCACACAACGUGACUCUAUCACGUUGAUUAUGUACUACCUAGUUAGAUUGCUAGCCACUCUGUGAUGGUUUAUCCCUAGAGUGGGCUGUUUUUGUUGGAUAAUACACCAUACCGGAUUUUAUUACAACCAGCAUCUUCACCCAGGACCUUGCAGUAGGACUUACUCACCACAGCAGCCAACCGUUUUAUCGUGCCAAAAGGGAAUUUCCUACGGAAUUCAUCUCUAUGGACUUGCAACCCUACUUUUAACCGGCUGUUGUGUAAAAGCUAAGUUUAUUUACUUUUUCUGUAUUUACUUUUGGGUAAGAUAUAUUUGCUACAUUGUAAACUUUUCGUAUGCAUACGAUUAGGAAGAGUACAUAUAUUUUCGUGAUAGAUAGGGUUUUAGGUCGUUUUUUUUUCUUUUUGAUUCAGUAUAAGUAGGAGUUAGUUAAAAUAAAUAAAAUCAGGUCUUGUUUAAUAAUCAUAAAUAAUUGUAUCUUAAAAUUUAAUAGGGAAUCGGGUUGUAAAAUUUUGUCGCGGAUUUUAAAUAGGGAAUACGUCUCGUAGGUUUUUUUUGUAAAAUAUAUAAAGAGUCACUGACCAACUCAUUUAUAUAGACCUUUUUGCUAUUCCAACGGACUUUUGAUUUGGAUUUUGAUUUUAAUACUUUUGCUUGGCCAGUGAUAGUGGAUAAUUGCUUGUUGAGUGGCCUUUGCGGUCCUAUUUUAUCUUUUCCCCAUCCACUAUCACUGUUAUUACGUUGCGUUAUAUGUAAAGUGUUAACAUUUAAUAUUUAUUAUUAAUAUAUUUGUAUGUAUUAAGGUUGGUGUUUUAUUUCAGUCUGUAUUACCAGUAUAUAACAUAGCAAGACAAGCUCAGUAUUUAGUAUUUUGUAUUUCAGGUAGUUGUAACCAGUGUCAUAGAGUUCAUGUUGUUCGUUACUUCAAAAUCUCGAACCUGUCCAACUUCUUGGUUCUGAGAGCCGAGUUGUUCGUUCGAGUUGGCGCCCUUUUUUCUUCUUCUUUCUUUGUUGUAACUCGAUAUUAUUUUAUCUCUAGCAUUCUUAUCUAUUUUCCUUCCAUUUUUGUAUUAAUAGUCUCAUUUUCUUCCUAGUUACUAUCAUUUCAUUACCAAAUUUUCUUCUUAUAUCUCUAAAGCCAAUAUUCGGUGUAUGGAAGCUAGCCCGAAUACUCAUACUUAAGAUUUAGUGUCUCUCUGCCCUUUUGAUUUUUUUUCCUUCUGAGCUAAGCCCCUCUUCUUUUGUCUUAAAUCUCUUAUCAUUUAUUUUACCCAUCUUUAUUCAGUUCUUCUCUUCAAAAAUCUCUAUACCCAGAGUAUAGAGGUUUCAAUUGGCGCCCAACGUGGGGCUUCUUUUACAUUUUUGGCUUUAAAAAUAUUUUCUUUAACUUUUGGUUUUAUCUUGGUGGUUUCAGUGCCUGUGUUUUUAUAUUUUCAUUUUAACGUUUAGUUUAUAUUUCAAUUUUUUUUUUGGACAGUAUCUUGUAUCUAUAUCUUGAAUAAACUUGUUUUGCUAUGGUAUACUGUGUUGACUGAAUGGAUUGCUUUGUUUUGAUUGGUCAAAUAAUUAUUUUGAAUUAAUAAUAAAUAAAUUGAAAAUUUGAAUAUCUUGAAUUUAGCUAUUUUACAAGUCCGGAAUAGCAUUAAAAGUGAAUCACUACCUUGAAUUAAAAGUUUUUUCGAUUUUAGGUUUAUCGGAAGUUGUAGCAGUACAUUUCAACGGAUUUCACGACUGGACCAAACAAAUAAACAUUACUGGUAUAGGUAUCCACUCACAACAUUAACUUGAGGACAGAGAGUAAGUUAAACUUUACCUACUUACAUUUUAUCUCAUUCUCGUGUUUAUUUCCCAGUUGUUUAUAAUGGCAUCGUUUAAGGUAGAACAUAUGUUUAUUUUGUUUACCUGGUUAACAUCUGUUGUUAUGCCUUUUAUCUUAUUUUAUCUUAUUUUAUCUUAUCUUAAUGUUGACUAAUAUCUUAGUUUUGGACUUGUUCAUUUUGCUGUGAGUUGCCUCUUGAAAGUCCAAACUACAUACCAUAGGAGUACAGGAUGGAUAAUGGGAAUUUUCCCCAUCUUGAAUUCUGGGUUAAAUAAGUAUUUACAGGGAUAAUUGGAAAACGCUUUUCAAAAAAAAAUAUAUUUUCCUUGAUUUAUGGUUUUGUAUGGUUGCGUACGGACCAUGCCCAUAAAUUGUUACAGUCGCUUUACUGUGUCAGGAUCUAGCGUGGGUUCAGGACUGAUCACCCCGAACUUGUGCACUUUACUUGGCUCAGAAAUACAUUAAUAUCUAUAAGUUGUUCCCAGAGUGUCUCAGGUUGAAAUUAGAAUGUGUCAUAUAGAAUUCGAUCGUUCUGAUAUUCAGCAGUAAGUAAGUCUGUUUAACUUGGUUGUCAUCUCCUAUGCUGUUAUCUUUUAAAUGAUUUGAGUUUUAACAUAUCUUUACCUGAAGUGAGUUUACCUUUACCUGAGGUGAGUUUAUCUUUACCUUUACCUGAAGUGAGUUUAUCUUUAUCUUUACCUGAAGUGACUUUACCUUUACCUGAAGUGAGUUUACCUUUACCUGAAGUGAGCUUAUCUUUACCUUUACCUGAGGUCAGCUUAUCUUUACCUUUACCUGAAGUGAGUUUAUCUUUACCUGAAGUGACUUUACCUUUACCUGAAGUGAGUUUACCUUUACCUGAAGUGAGCUUAUCUUUACCUUUACCUGAGGUGAGCUUAUCUUUACCUUUACCUGAAGUGAGUUUAUCUUUAUCUUUACCUGAAGUGACUUUACCUUUACCUGAAGUGAGUUUACCUUUACCUGAAGUGAGCUUAUCUUUACCUUUACCUGAGGUGAGUUUAUCUCUACCUUUACCUGAAGUGAGUUUACCUUUACCUGAAGUGAGUUUAUCUUUACCUUGAGUUUAUCUCGUACCUUUACCUUGAUGAGUGCAUCUCUUAUCUAUAUCUGAUUGAAUGUAUAUCUUAUCUUUAUCUUGAUUAUUAUAAAGUCCUAAGAAUCUGUCCUUCUCUGUGCUUGUCGUGAGUAAAGAAUUGGAUCACGUCAAUAGUGCAGUUUAGGUAUUACAGUUAGGACCCUAAUUAUAUCUUACCUUUUGUGCAUACCCUCUACCACGAGUAGAUGUGGGCUUGCAAUUAUCUUUACCUUUUAGCAUACCCUAUACCAGGAGUAUAGUGGGCUUGCUAGUAUCUUUACCUAGAUUGUGUCUUCCUAUCACUGCUCAAGAGAGUAGAUGUUAAGGAUUAUCUUUUACCUUGAUUUUUAGUUGUUGUUGAUAUCCAGAACCAUAUCAUUAUUUAUGUUUAGAUUUGUAGUAAUGUAGUUUCAACUAGUCUUGAUGAAUUAGUCCCUCAUUGAAUUCUCGGGUGAUUAGUAGAAUUUGUUCGCUCUAGUAUCAAUGUGGGUAAAUUUGAUAUGUUGAUUGUUGUGUAUGGUUCUUGGUUAUACUGUGUUAGGUGUUGUUAAUACACACCUGUAAUUUAGAUUUAAUGAUGGGUUACUAACACUUGAGAAUGCAGAUGGUAAGUAGUGUUAAGAGUUGACUUACUCUAUAAGGUUGUAUAAUUAUAUUUAGAAUGUAAGUGAUUAACGUGUAAUUAUUUGUUUUUCUCUAUCUUUAUUUUUACUAAAUUAAAGUAAAUUAUUAUGUUGAAUUAUCUAUGUCGGUCAGUUACACAUCCCUUCUAUGUUCUAUACUUUCUGCAAAUAUGAUUAAAUAUAUCUCGCGUGGCCUCUAUACUAUGUAUGACUUCGUUCCUGAUUUUUGUUCCGUCCUCUCAGCAAAUAGUAUGACUGUUGAGCCUACCAUCAUUAUGUUUUUAUCCCACAACGUUACUCCUUUACCGUGUCCACCCUCAGGUUCGCCCUAGCGUCAGUUAGUUCUGGAAAAUAAAAAAAAGAGGAAACUUGUGGAGUUUUCCUUUUUUUUUGCUGGAGAUAAGGGAGAAUGUAGCAGUUAUGCUACGGACCAUUUAAAAUUAAUUACGAUUUUCGAUUCAUUCAAUUAUAUUUCAUUAAAAAUACCCCUCUAGAAAGUUCUUUGGAGACGCCUAUUUAAUCGCCUAGGUGCCUAUUUUCGCAGCGAAGCAAGAGGAAAGCACCGCGCAUGUUUCUAUCGGAUCGAUACGAAUCGAUUUCCGAUAACAUUGAACAGCAGUUGGUCAGGAAACGGCUCGAAGGGCGGAUGGCGCGCCGCUAGUAAGGUUAUUCCCACUUUUAAGUGACGGGAUUGAAACAAAUUUUCGAUGGAAAUCAAAUAAUUAGAAGGAAAUCAAGCGUCAGCUAAUCCCAUCUACAAAACUAGAUAACCAAAGUUAAACAUCUCUUUGGACUUCUUCACAUAACAGAAGUGGAUAUUCCGGCGUGCCUGCCUUGUUUCAAUCCCGUAACUUAGUUAUUUAGUCACACAACGUGACUCUAUCACGUUGAUUAUGUACUACCUAGUUAGAUUGCUAGCCACUCUGUGAUGGUUUAUCCCUAGAGUGGGCUGUUUUUGUUGGAUAAUACACCAUACCGGAUUUUAUUACAACCAGCAUCUUCACCCAGGACCUUGCAGUAGGACUUACUCACCACAGCAGCCAACCGUUUUAUCGUGCCAAAAGGGAAUUUCCUACGGAAUUCAUCUCUAUGGACUUGCAACCCUACUUUUAACCGGCUGUUGUGUAAAAGCUAAGUUUAUUUACUUUUUCUGUAUUUACUUUUGGGUAAGAUAUAUUUGCUACAUUGUAAACUUUUCGUAUGCAUACGAUUAGGAAGAGUACAUAUAUUUUCGUGAUAGAUAGGGUUUUAGGUCGUUUUUUUUUUCUUUUUGAUUCAGUAUAAGUAGGAGUUAGUUAAAAUAAAUAAAAUCAGGUCUUGUUUAAUAAUCAUAAAUAAUUGUAUCUUAAAAUUUAAUAGGGAAUCGGGUUGUAAAAUUUUGUCGCGGAUUUUAAAUAGGGAAUACGUCUCGUAGGUUUUUUUUGUAAAAUAUAUAAAGAGUCACUGACCAACUCAUUUAUAUAGACCUUUUUGCUAUUCCAACGGACUUUUGAUUUGGAUUUUGAUUUUAAUACUUUUGCUUGGCCAGUGAUAGUGGAUAAUUGCUUGUUGAGUGGCCUUUGCGGUCCUAUUUUAUCUUUUCCCCAUCCACUAUCACUGUUAUUACGUUGCGUUAUAUGUAAAGUGUUAACAUUUAAUAUUUAUUAUUAAUAUAUUUGUAUGUAUUAA